UUGAAAAGAAGUCAAAAAAGAGACAAAUUAUUGUUAAUAAUUUUAUUGAGUUUAGCUCCUUUUCA
rnacentral:tRNA from 1 species